AAACAGCCCCCUAUGUUUUAAUUCUUUGGCAGUUUUGAACCUCCAAAACAAAACAAAAAUAAAAAAUUAACACGUGGCACCUCACUUAGGGUGCCACGUCAGCGUUGACCGAGUCAAGAAUGGACUGGGGGUCCAAAACUGCCAAAAAAUCAAAACAUAGGGAGCUGUUU
rfam:Medicago truncatula strain A17 chromosome 2, whole genome shotgun sequence.